AAGAGCUGGAAGGACCCAAUAAAUGUGAGCGUGAGGCACAGAGAGAAAGGAGGCUUGAUGCUGGUGGGCAGAAACUGUGGCAAGUAGGAGGGAACUGGGGGAUAUAAAGAGCAGAAAGGAAGCAUCACUCACCGCCGAGCAGCAGCUUUCUCCAUCGUCAGCCCUGCUUGCCCUCCACCUCUGCAUGGUCUUCAUUUGGGAGGAACAAAAAUCCCCCCUGGUUUGUAGGGCAAGUCUACAUCCAGAGGGGACUUGUGGAAAGAGAUCCUGUGCUCUGCUGGCCUGUCUCUCUUAGCUAACCUCCAUAAAACCUCUGCAGUUCCUUCUGCCCACAUAUGCUGCUGAGAAAAGAGAAGCCCCUGCUUGGGAGGAUUUAGCAUUCUGGUGAGAUAUUUUGAUCAGAGAAUGAUGCUUAGAAGACACACCAUCAGCACGCUGGACCUGGGCGGAGAGAUCUGUGCGGGCUCUGCAUGGACCUGGCUCACGCUUAAAAGCAGGAGCAGCCAUUACCAUUGCUCUGGGUAGCACAGGGUUCCCUCUCACGCUGCUGGUGGCAAACAGGUUGCCUGGAACUGGGGAGCAAUUUGCAGUAAGUGACUGGGAACUGAGGGUUGGAGCCUCUCUGUGAAAGAGAUCUGCAGAAAUCUCUGCAGGGCUGGGAGAUCUGCAGAAUUAUGCUCUUAACUGUGUUAGCUGUCCCUUUGGGGCUUGCAGGUUUUCCUUGGGGUAUAGCCAAGUAUUUCCAUGGGCUGCUGAAAUUUGGCUGAUGGAAAUCCAUACUGUCACACUUUGUUAAAAGAUGUCCAGGGACAGGCAUGGAGAGAAGAAGCCAGGCUGGUUGCAAACACCUCGUUUCCUUCAGAAAUCAGUCUAGAAUUCUCCCCGGCAUAUAUAGGCUGACUACAAAGAGCUCGGCAUGUUCGUAGGGCUGUUUGUUAGCUAUGGGCUGGCAGCACGUGCUGUCAAAGCCCCUUUGUAAGACCACAGACCAACUCUCCCCUACAAGCAGUACCACCACUGCCCUGUACUCUGAUGUGAGAUGCUUUAUUUCUGUACUCCACAGAAACACAGAAAUUGGAUGUUUAGCUGACUGACAAGGGCAAGUUCUGUUAUACUGUUUAUUCCCCUGGUCUUGUCUACAAGCCAUGAAGGGACUGAUCUGAACACGUUUCUCCCUUUGCUUGCCUGAGGCUCCCAUUCCUCCUUCAACGUACUUCUUCAAAUUUCUUUUGAGAAACAAUGCUUUCAAAUAAGCUAAUAGAGAAUAUAUAAUGAAAUACGAGAAGAGCUCUGUGGAGCCCAACAUUUUGUUGUGUUCCCAGUUCACCUCCUUGCCUCAGGUUCCCUUUGUUCCCCCUCCAUCCACCCACCAGCCUUCCUGUUUGUUCUUUUUCCUUUUGACUGCCCACUUUCACAUUCGUUUUGGCUUUUCUUCAAUCUUUUAAUGCUGCAUCUAUUCCUUGAAUUUACUAUCGUUUGACAUUCUGUUUCAUGAGUCACCGCUGGGGACAGAGUUUGAAGUAGAUCAAAUUGCACAAACUAGUUCUUAGGACUGCCAAAAAAUAAUUUGAAUUCGUGCUCUUUAUUCCUGGGAUAAACCUUUGUGGGUUCUUCCCUCUACACACUCCCCUCGGAAGAUGAUGCAGUAAAUACAUGUAUUUAUUGCAUGUAAACGUCAGAGACAGGGAGACCCUGAACUUCUUUGCUUCUACCUUUGUGUAGAUCCUCAGCUUGCAAACCACAUUGAAUUCAAAGCACUUCUCCAUCCUUCCAUUCUGCCUUGUUUUCUGAGUUUUUCUCUAAUACAGCAGGAAUCAUGCCAGUGCUGACCAAACAACAGCUAAAUUCUCCAUACAACUCUGCUUUGCUGUGGUGUUCAGUCAGAAGUUGUUCCUAGGUGUGCAUGCAUGACUAAAAUCAUAAGUCUUUAAAUAACUCUGUGCCAUUUUGGUGCAAGAUGAUGAGGUUGGCAAGGAUUCUCGUUGUGUUGUCAUCACAAUUUUCAUUAGAGCAGAGUAUCAUGACAGCUUGUUCUCUGCUCAGACUGAUGUGAUUACUAAUCUGAAACCCUGGCACAUUACACUAACACCUGACAUCUGGAAGGGAAAGGUGGGAGGUGAUGCAGGCUCCCAAAGUUGCUGUGUGAUGCAUACCAAAGGUCUUCUCGUUCAUUCCAGGAGCUGCCGUAGCCAAGGUUAAUGGCCUUCCUUGGUCAGCAGAGCUAAUGCAAUUCUUGCAAUGAUAAAACAAAUAGCUUUUGUGAUUAGAAAUGGAAAAUGCCAUCAAGCAAUAUGUAGUGCUGAAUAGGCAGUGAUGGGAGUUAGCAGCACUUUCCUGUUAAACUGAGGUAGCACAUCAGGAACAGCUGGAUGAGUUGGGGAUUUAUUUACGAAAGAACAGAAAGUAUGCAUCAAGUGUACGUGUGUCAUUCAAAGUACAUCAAAUCGAAGACCCAUAUCAGAACAGCAUCGAAAAUGGGAGACGGUUCUACCAGCAAAACUUUAGAGGUAUGAGUUCGUAGCUCAUCUUAGAACCCCUCUAGCAGAGGAAGAACCUUUGGCGUUGAAUGACCAUGGUCCCUGCGGGCAGCUACUCUGUGGGAUGGCAGCAAGAGCUGUGCCGUGAUGCCAGGCACACUCACAUUGGCCCAGCAGCAGCCCAGGACCCUCAACAACCUUUGGUUCCCUAGCCUUCAUCAGCACUGCUGAUAGGAAAUGACAGCACAAGGAGCCACAGAGAACAACUUGAUAGUGGAAGUGAAAUUCCUAUUCUGCAGCAUUAAGCCAUGCACCAGCAGCCCAAAAUGCAGGCUGUUGGCAGUGUUUUCUGUGCAGACAUGUACAUUCCAGCACUCGUCUCUGGUGAUGAAUCUUUUCACAGUGAUCUUGUUCCCUGUGGAGUCAGCAAGCCCCACACGCUGCCAGUGGGACAAGUGGCCGACAGGAAAAUCUGAUUUGCACUUCCACCAUUAAGCUGCUAUUUCCAACCCUGAAAACUAUGCUGGGUGACAUUAGGCAGCCAGGCUCUGUAAAACAGCGUAGACAAGACUGUCGGAUCAGUGCGUUGGCAGGAUAAUGUGUCCUGACACCAAGGAAACCACUACAUGGGUAAAACCGAGCCCUAACCCAGCCGGGACAUGUGUGAGAGUGAAAUGCCACCACAAGACUUGAAGACAUGUAAGUUUCUCAGCUCCACAUCCAACUAUUUGUCCAACAGAGUCAUGUCUUGUGUUUGCUCUGAUCAGGGGUUAUUUUCUGUGCAGAUACGCAUUAAACUGUUAAGAAAAUAACCAAAACCUAUUAAUCACCAGCAUAUUUCUUACUACUGUACCAGUCAAGGAUUAUUUUAAUGCUUGUUUUAAUGGAUUGCUCAGCUGUGAACGAUUUUAAGGUUAAAGGUCUUGCAAGACUCUUCUUAUAAGCUUCCUGGAAUCUAAUCCAUCACUAAUUUCCAUAUGUCUCGCACAGCGCUGGGCUAAUGUAAUGCAUCGCCACAUAAAACCUUCUCUGAUGAAAUUAUCCUGGGUAUUACAGAAAUUCAAAGCAUUGUUCUUAAAGGUACGUGCCUUUUUCAGAUGUCUCACUAGUCAAGAUAUAAGCCUGGGGUGUUCAAGACGUUUUUUUCUUGACAGUAACUGCAAUAGGAAGUUUAUGAUGGCACCUCACAGCUCAGAUUCUCUGUGUUAGCGAGUGUCACAGGCAGAAGUGGCUUUUCUAUUGACAUCUCUUAGUAGAGAGCAACUCCUUUUCUACUCGUGUCCCCAGAUUGACUUUUUGGGCCCAGUUCUGGUAUUUCUCAUCCCACAAACCAACCUGCUCCCUCUAACCGUAUGUAAAAUGCUGAUGGAUCUCCUUUGCUUUUUCAGCAUUGAUUUCUUUCAGAUAAUUUUGGUACUCUCUGCUACCCAUCGGCAUGGAACCACCAGUCUAAGCACCAACAGUGGUUUCCUUUUGAUGUGCUGCAGAUGGACUGGUGCAGAGCCGCCCGAGCACAGCAGCAACAUUCUUUCCUUCUUGGCUUUCCAGUCAUUACCUCCCACAAAGGAGACAGGGAAUGGUGUUAUCUGGUUAAUGCAGUGUGCUGAGAUAAGACCAGACGCCUUGAUGUCUUUAUCCCUGAGUCAUAAACAAAUUUCCUCCAAGUGGUGGGAGAAGGGCAGUGUGAGAAACCAGACCACAGCUACCACGGUAUAUGUUAUGUUAGGGGAAAGUUGAUGUCUACAUGCAGAGAAACUGGCAAAAAUUUGAUUUCCCAAGCAGAAUAAAGACAGCUUGAAAAUACGAGCCUCCAGCACAUCAGUACAAUGCAACACCUGCAGAUGCAUAGAAGGGGAGAUAAAUUGGAAAUGAAGGCUUGUUAGCACAUUGGCAAAAACAAAUGGUAAUGGAACAAGCCUUGUGUGUGAAGUCAUAUGCAAUGAUUGUGGCAAGAGAAAUCAUUAUAUCAAAUCCUGCAGGCAAGACAAGAAAGAAUAUGCGCCACAUUCAGUGAGCAGUGGUUCAGGCAAGUAUCCGCCAUUACCCAAUGCAAAGCAGCAAAAAUAUUGUGUACAUUAAGCUGCCUUCAGAUGCAAAAAUUGUGCAUGGCCCCAUGUAGGCGCCCCAGGAGGCCGCACAGGAGGGGAUCUUUGAAAUUGUAGGGGUCUUUGAAAUUGUGAGAUGCCAAAGUACUCAGAGGCAGGCAUGUGGGCUCUCAUUCUCCCCAGCAGUGAAGGUGCACUCUCUCUGAAAACAAACCUUACUGCAGCUUGCAGUGGGGAGAAUUCUCCCUAUGUGGUUAAUUAAUGCAGGUCCCAUGACAAUUCUUAAAAUUGCAUGCUGCCAGACAAGUUUCCUGAGCCACAGUGUUUUUAACAAUAAGCAUGUCUUUUAUUUACAGGUUACCAUUAAAGACGAGAUCUGCAUUGCAUUAUUGGACUAAUAUUGCUGAGAAUAAUGUGACCGGAAUAGCUAUUCGUGCCUCAAGGCCAGAAAUGAUCUAUGCCAAGCCCACCUCCAUCCCUCCCCCUGUAUUGCCUCAUCUGUGCUGACAUUUCCUUGUGAAUAUUUAAGUUUUCCCAGCACAGGGAUUGCCUUCUUCACCGUGCACCACUUAAAUGCAACAAUCUGCAUUGCUGCGCAAAGAGGAAAGGACCUGGAGCAUCACCCUACAACAGCACCUUCAGCACUUCAAUCCUCAGCACCCGACCUCCUCCACAUUUUCUGACAGCUCCGAAAGUUUGUUGUGGAGAGGGACAAACAACAGAAAAGUAACGAAAGACACAUUUAGUCAUCCUCAGCCUGUAUUUAGGCACCUACAUCCAUUGCCCACUUUCCAGCUGGGACAGACAGGAUUUCAGCGGCAGGGAGCUGAGCUCAGGCUUAGCAGGAUGCCCACACACUUCAGCAUCCUACACACUUAAUAUCCACGAUUGUAACAACAUAGCAACUAGUCUGUAAUUAGUACAGACAUUGCCGGAGCUGCCUUUGUAUUACUUAUGAGUCAUGCUGCAAAAAUAUUCUUUAUUCAUUACCCAAGCCCUUUUCAUUUCAGUGCCAGCCAUUACCGUGUUGCAGGGCACAUAGGACUCUGUCAGGCUUGUCAAAGCCAAGUGCCUCCUGAUAGGAAUCUUCGCAUUUAACCUGACAAAGAUUUACUUUACAAAAGGGCGAGAUCAAAAGAGUUUCUCUCUGCACAAAAGAAGAAAGAAGCGCUUAAACAUGGCUCAAAGUGAGGGGUUUUCUCCUUGUGCUUCUGCAGGCGCCCAUCUAUGGUUGGAAGAACCACUUUCAGGCUUGGCUUAAAUCGUUCUGUCAGUUAAUUAAAUAUUUGUAUCUUAAUGUCUUUCUGGUUAACUAGUGAGGAGAAAAGGCUCAUGAAAAACGCAGACUGAAUAGGAAACUUUCCUUCAUCUUUAAUAUAAUAUAUGGAACAGAAAAAGGAAAAUGCAGCUGAAAUAUAUUAUGACAAGCAAAUAAAAGUAACGUUGGAAAAUUCCUCCAGGCAGAUUCUGUUCUAGACCACUACUAUUUACUAAGAUUUAUUUUUUUAUUCACUGCGUUAUUAAAUCACUGGGCUGGAAAGUCCUUGGGUCAUUUCAAACCACUGUCUCAUUGAUUUCUUAUUCCUAAAACAUCCUUAAUAUAGCACCGUCAUUGGAACUGACGACAGCGAUCCCCAAAUUUCCCCAGGCAGCAGGCUAAUAGUCUAAGUGCUCUUGCUGUUGAAGAGGAACACUGACAGAUUAACUCAGACCCCGAGAUCAGGCCUGUAAACAGAAAGGUAGGUUAAAAAAAAGCCUGACAUAAUCAGAAAAGUUCCCAUAAAACACAGUAGGAAGCUGUGAGAAAGGCCUGAAAUACAGAGGUGGUCAAGAGAAAUCUUUGAAAUAUUCUAUUUAGCAAUCUAAUUAUUUCCCUGCUAGAAAGGAUAUAGCAGAAAUACUGUACAGAACGCUCUCCCGAAGAGAAAAAGAAAACUUCCUCAGCACUAAUCAUCCAGAAAUAAAAUUAAAUUUCUAUUUUUAAGUUGAAUCUAUAUCUACAUUUUCUCAUGACAGCUCUCUCUUCCUUUCAGUGAAGUCCCUUGCUGCAUCCGUGGCUGAAAGCACAAAAGCUCAGCACUGAGAUGUACCUACUGCCUUUAAGGAUAAAUCAAACCAACUCAGCGCCGUCACUUCCUGUAGGCAUUACAGCCCUAGAGAAAUGCACCCACAUCGUUAUGAGGGAUGAUACCCUCUACCUCUCCCACACCAAACUCCAGCAGCAGUGCUUUGCCAAAGAGCCAAAAAGACCAAGUGUUGAGCUGCACAGAAAGGGAUGGAUGUGGAUGAGUCACUCUGAAAUGGAGCACCCCACCAAACCACAGCACAGUGCAGGAUGGACCGAGCAAGUCGUAAGUUGUGUUUGUCAUAGGAUCACUGAAGCUGGAAAAGACCUCUCAGAUGCUCAAGUCCAACCCCACCCCACCCCACCAUGCCCAUCACCACGUCCCUCAGUGCCACAUCCCCGUGGUUCUGGAACACCUCCGGGGACGGUGAC